UUUCCGGUUGAUCCUGCCGGACCCGACUGCUAUCGGGGUGGGACUAAGCCAUGCGAGUCGAACGUCCCCCGGGAAUGUGGGGGGCGUGGCGCACGGCUCAGUAACACGUAGCUAACCUGCCCUAGGGAGGGGGAUAAUCCCGGGAAACUGGGGCUAAUCCCCCAUAGGUCUAGGCUCCUGGAAUGGGCCUAGACCGAAAGGGGCUGGCGCACAUCCCGCGCCAGCACCGCCCUAGGAUGGGGCUGCGGCCCAUCAGGUAGUUGGUGGGGUAAAGGCCCACCAAGCCUAUAACGGGUACGGGCUCUGAGAGGAGGAGCCCGGAGAUGGGCACUGAGACAAGGGCCCAGGCCCUACGGGGCGCAGCAGGCGCGAAACCUCCGCAAUGCGGGAAACCGCGACGGGGUCACCCCGAGUGCCGCCCGCAGAGGGCGGCUUUUCCAGGGCCUAAAAAGCCCUGGGAAUAAGGGGAGGGCAAGCCUGGUGUCAGCCGCCGCGGUAAUACCAGCUCCCCGAGUGGUCGGGACGAUUAUUGGGCCUAAAGCGCCCGUAGCCGGCCCGGUACGUCCCCUGUUAAAUCCACCGGCUCAACCGGUGGGCUGCGGGGGAUACUACCGGGCUAGGAGGCGGGAGAGGCCGGGGGUAUUCCCGGGGUAGGGGUAAAAUCCUCUGAUCCCGGGAGGACCGCCAGUGGCGAAGGCGCCCGGCCAGAACGCGCUCGACGGUGAGGGGCGAAAGCUGGGGGAGCGAACCGGAUUAGAUACCCGGGUAGUCCCAGCUGUAAACGAUGCGGGCUAGGUGCUGGAGGGGCUACGGGCCUCUCCAGUGCCGCAGGGAAGCCGUUAAGCCCGCCGCCUGGGGAGUACGGCCGCAAGGCUGAAACUUAAAGGAAUUGGCGGGGGGGCACACACGGGUGAAGCCUGCGUCAUGAUCACGCCGGGAUUCGUCGACUGCAGCAUGCAGCUUGCACUGACGUCGGUUACACGUCUGACUGGGAAAGCCUGCGUACCUACCU
rnacentral:rRNA from 1 species